rnacentral:rRNA from 1 species
AACAAAGAUUAAGACCAAGGCUGCCUGUCUGAUCUCGGAAGCUAAGCAGGGUCCAGCCUGGUUAGUACUGGGAUGGGAGACCACCUAGGAAGACCAGGUGCUGUAGGUG